rnacentral:rRNA from 1 species
GACAGAGGCCUCGAGCGUUAGGCGGAAUCACUGGGCUUAAAGCGUGUGUAGGCGGAUCGUUAAGUACCUUGUGAAAUCCCACGGCUCAACCGUGGAACGGCUGGGUAUACUGGCGGUCUUGGGCCAUUCAGGGGCGACUGGAACAAGCGGUGGAGCGGUGAAAAUGCGUAGAUAUCGCUUGGAACGCCGAAGGUGAAAACAGGUCGCUGGGGAUGUGCCGACGCUGAGACACGAAAGCCAGGGGAGCAAACGGG